GCCGUCAAGUGGGAGAGAGACCGUGCUGCUGAUGGGCGAUUUUCAUAGGAAGCAGCUGCCGUAUUCCUUGUCUAGGGUUACGAUUUCAUGCCUCUUUGCUGUUCCUCAUCAUACUUCUCCAUGGCGCCGUCGCCGCCGACUCCACUAAGGUCCCUGAUCGCGGCUCGCCGUCUUCCAAUCUUUAUCGAUCUCCUCCAUACUCGAAUCAUGCUGAACUUGUUCCUCUAAUUUGUACGCCGACAAGUGGAAGAAGGUACCGCGCUGCUGAUGGGCGACGAAUCCUGCGCCUAUUUCGAUAGGUGUCGAGAUCGCCUGGCGAUCGGAGGUUGUUGACGGCGCUUUUUGAGGCGGUGAAUCGAGGCAAGCCGGAGAGAUGAUCUUCGAAGUGUCGAAGAUGUCGCCGUCUCCGGCGAUCUUAGUAAUUAAUUAAUUAAGAAAUAAUUUUUAAUUUUUUUGGUCUCAAAUUAAAUUUUUAAUUAAUAUUAAUUUUUGGAAAAAUAUUCAAAUAAGUAGGGGUGUCCAUCAGUUGAAUCUAAUUUAAAUAUCUUACUCUUAAAUGGGGAUAUUUGAGAUUAGGGAUCUUUACUUUUAUUUUAAUAUUUUUUUAAUAUUCUAUCAUUAUCAUAUAUUAAUAUUUAUUUUAAUUUUUAAAAUAAAAUUUAAUUUAAUCUUUAAAAAUCUAUUAAAUUCUAAAUUCGGAACUUGAUUUAAAAUUUUCAAUUUGAAAAUUCUCUAAUUUGAAUUCUAUCUGAACUUAAAAAUUCACCAUUUGAAAUUUAAUAUUUUUGGGGAUAAUUUGAAUUAGACAGUUGGAUUAAAUUUGUUUUAAUAUCCUUAUAUAUAUCUUAUUUUUUAUUGGGAAAGAAAAAAUUAAUCCUAGCUUAUUUUCUUAGAAAAAAAAAUUUAAUUUAUUUUUUUAUCUAAUUAUUAAUAUGUAUUUUAUUUUUUUUCCCAUCGAAAAUGUUCAUCCGAUUGAAGGAGCGCGAGACGAGGAAGAGUUGAUAAGUACAUUGAAAUAUUUUUUUUUUUAAUUAGAAUGAUAUAGAGUAAUAGAAUAAUGGGUAGGAUAUAGGUACCUUAAAUUUUGUUGGGUAUGAAAAUGGAUAUGAAAGUUAAAUGCUUAAUGGAUACAUUACAUACGGGCAUUUCCAGAUAAACAGAAAGAAGCACACUUGACCUUCUCGACUUCUGGCCAGUCAAGAAGUUCCAUGGUGCUCUCCAGUGUUUUGAACCAAGCUUGAGCAUCCCAGGGCUUGCCUGAUAAAUUUUCUGGCUUCAACUUCAGCCACUCUAUUAGAUAUGCUUCUUGUCUUCUAGGUGCUAUGGGGAUUUUCAGGACGGCUGGUGGGACCUCAAUCACCAUUGGAGUCUCUACAUUGAUUGUUGGAGGAGUGGAAGGGUUUAGCUGCUGAUUCAUCAUUAAAUUGACGAUCACUUAUUGCUCUUGUUGCUGUUCUAUCACUUAUCUUUGGAGUUGAGCAACAAUUUCAGAGAAAUUUAAUUCAACUGU